UACGUAGGGUGCGAGCGUUAAUCGGAAUUACUAAGCGUAAAGCGUGCGCAGGCGAUUGUGCAAGACCGAUGUGAAAUCCCCGAGCUUAACCUGGGAAUGGCAUUGGUGACUGCACGGCUAGAGUGUAUCAGAGGAGGGUAGAAUUCCACGUGUAGCAGUGAAAUGCGUAGAGAUGUGGAGGAAUACCGAUGGCGAAGGCAGCCCCCUGGGAUAACACUGACGCUCAUGCACGAAAGCGUGGGGAGCAAACAGG
rnacentral:rRNA from 1 species